UACGUAGGGACCAAGCGUUGUUCGGAUUUACUGGGCGUAAAGGGCGCGUAGGCGGCUUGACAAGUCACUUGUGAAAUCUCCGGGCUUAACUCGGAACGGCCAAGUGAAACUGUCAUGCUAGAGUGCAGAAGGGGCAAUCGGAAUUCUUGGUGUAGCGGUGAAAUGCGUAGAUAUCAAGAGGAACACCUGAGGUGAAGACGGGCUGCUGGGCUGACACUGACGCUGAGGCGCGAAAGCCAGGGGAGCAAACGGG
rnacentral:rRNA from 1 species